GAUGAACGCUGGCGGCGUGCCUAAUACAUGCAAGUCGAGCGAACGGACGAGAAGCUUGCUUCUCUGAUGUUAGCGGCGGACGGGCGAGUAACACGUGGAUAACCUACCUAUAAGACUGGGAUAACUUCGGGAAACCGGAGCUAAUACCGGAUAAUAUUUUGAACCGCAUGGUUCAAAAGUGAAAGACGGUCUUGCUGUCACUUAUAGAUGGAUCCGCGCUGCAUUAGCUAGUUGGUAAGGUAACGGCUUACCAAGGCAACGAUGCAUAGCCGACCUGAGAGAGUGAUCGGCCACACUGGAACUGAGACACGGUCCAGACUCCUACGGGAGGCAGCAGUAGGGAAUCUUCCGCAAUGGGCGAAAGCCUGACGGAGCAACGCCGCGUGAGUGAUGAAGGUCUUCGGAUCGUAAAACUCUGUUAUUAGGGAAGAACAUAUGUGUAAGUAACUGUGCACAUCUUGACGGUACCUAAUCAGAAAGCCACGGCUAACUACGUG
rnacentral:rRNA from 1 species